GACGAACGCUGGCGGCGUGCCUAACACAUGCAAGUCGAACGGAGAUAUUAAUGAAGCUUGCGAUUUAAUAUCUUAGUGGCGGACGGGUGAGUAACGCGUGGGUAAUCUGCCCAUAAGUGGGGAACAACAGUUGGAAACGACUGCUAAUACCGCAUACGCUGUCGCAAGACAGGAAAGGUGGCCUCUGAAUAUGCUGCCGCUUAUGGAUGAGCCCGCGUCUGAUUAGCUAGUUGGUGGGGUAAGGGCCUACCAAGGCGACGAUCAGUAGCCGGCCUGAGAGGGGGAACGGCCACACUGGGACUGGGACACGGCCCAGACUCCUACGGGAGGCAGCAGUGGGGAAUAUUGGGCAAUGGGGGAAACCCUGACGCAGCGACGCCGCGUGAGCGAUGAAGGCCUUAGGGUUGUAAAGCUCUGUUUUAAGGGACGAAUGUUACAGGGAGUAAUAUGUCCUGUAAAUGACGGUACCUUAAGAGGAAGCCCCGGCUAACUACGUGCCAGCCGCCGCGGUAACAC
rnacentral:rRNA from 1 species